AGAGUUUGAUCCUGGCUCAGAACGAACGCUGGCGGCGUGGAUAAGACAUGCAAGUCGAGCGAGAUUUUUUCCUGUAGCAAUACAGGGAAAAGUCUAGCGGCGAACGGGUGCUUAACACGUGGGCAAUCUGUCUUAAAGUGGGGGAUAGCUCGGCGAAAGCCGAAUUAAUACCGCAUGUGAUUAGAAUGGACAUCCAUUCAAAAUCAAAGGUGGCGCAAGCUACCGCUUUUAGAGGAGCCCGCGGCCUAUCAGCUUGUUGGUGAGGUAACGGCUCACCAAGGCUUUGACGGGUAGCUGGUCUGAGAGGACGACCAGCCACACUGGGACUGAGACACGGCCCAGACACCUACGGGUGGCAGCAGUCGAGAAUUUUUCUCAAUGGGGGAAACCCUGAAGGAGCGACGCCGCGUGGAGGAUGAAGGUCUUCGGAUUGUAAACUCCUGUCAUUGGGGAACAAGGUGCAUACGUUAACUGCGUGCGCAUUGAUAGUACCCGAAGAGGAAGAGACGGCUAACUCUGUGCCAGCAGCCGCGGUAAUACAGAGGUCUCAAGCGUUGUUCGGAUUCAUUGGGCGUAAAGGGUGCGUAGGCGGCGCGGUAAGUCGGGUGUGAAAUCUUGGAGCUUAACUCCGAAACUGCAUUCGAUACUGCCGUGCUUGAGGACUGGAGAGGAGACUGGAAUUUACGGUGUAGCGGUGAAAUGCGUAGAUAUCGUAAGGAAGACCAGUGGCGAAGGCGGGUCUCUGGACAGUUCCUGACGCUGAAGCACGAAGGCCAGGGGAGCAAACGGGAUUAGAUACCCCAGUAGUCC
rnacentral:rRNA from 1 species